rnacentral:rRNA from 1 species
GACGAACGCUGGCGGCGUGCUUAACACAUGCAAGUCGAGCGGUAAGGCCCUUUCGGGGGUACACGAGCGGCGAACGGGUGAGUAACACGUGGGUGACCUGCCCUCAGCUCUGGGAUAAGCCUGGGAAACUGGGUCUAAUACUGGAUAUGACUCCACGGUGCAUGUCGUGGGGUGGAAAGCCUUGUGCGGCUGAGGAGUGGGCCCGCGGCCUAUCAGCUUGUUGGUGGGGUGANGGCCUACCAAGGCGACGACGGGUAGCCGGCCUGAGAGGGCGACCGGCCACACUGGGACUGAGACACGGCCCAGACUCCGUACGGG